AGUGGCUGUGGUGAAAGGACAGAUCAUUAUAUAAUUAUAAUUGCUUACAUCCAUUUUGUGUUUGUUUUGUAGAAGUAUUAUAGAAGGUGCUUUACAAAUAUUUUCUUUAAUUCUCACAGCAAUCAUAAAAGGAAGGUAUGAACAUCCCUCAUUAUAAAAAAGAAACUGGUUCAAGAGGAGCCCCAGUUACACAGCUAAGGAAGAGCAAAGCUGAAUUUCAAGCCACGUUUCUCUGGCUCAAUGGCAGAGCUCUCUACUAUGUUGUUUCUCUGCUCUUUUCCAGGAUGCUGAUGCAGCUCUUCCCAAUUUUGCAUUAUCCUCUGACCCAUGGGCUCACUCCAUGACUUGCCCUGGCUGCCAGGUUACAGUCCCAGGGCCAUAUCUGGACUAACCACAUUCUUUGGAUACUUUAGACCAUUUGGCUAAGCUCUCCCUGGCCAGCCAUUGCUACUGGGCCCCUUGCUACAAGUUUUUGCCUAGUUUUUCCUCAUACCCCACUUUGCUGGCCUCCAAGUUGCCCUCCCAUCCCAGCAUGUCUUGCUUUUGAAUUCAUUUACAUUAGGAAGGAGCUAUGAGUUGAGCCAUCCUGAGAGCUGAAUUUUGGAAAGAAACUGAAUUUAUUUUAAAAUCAAAGAAUGUAAUCUUAAUUUCCUAUCCACUUGAGGUACUGAAGGAUUUUUAACACCUUUAAGGAAGAAAAAAGCUCAGGUUACAGCUUUGCUUGAUUUGCUUUGAAUGAAAUUGCCCAGUUUCUCCUGCUUUUUUUUUGUUGUUCUGGGCUAUCUGAUACUGAACCAUAUAGCCUGAAAUUGAGUUUUGUGCUCAAAUUUGAGAGAGAGAGCGAGACACAAGAGCAAGUAUUUGUAAAACUUGGGGAAAACAAGGGCAGCAGCAGUUACUUUCGUUAUCCCUAUUGCUGUAACCCUGGAAUUUUGGGUUCCUUGGUCAGUUGCAGUAUCAUCAGAACCUGGUGAAGCAGAACCUACCACCAACCCCAGUAGUCCUAAUAAUUUACCCUGGGUCCUACCCACAUCAUCAUUCUCCUAAAUGUAAGAAGGAACUCAAAGGUCAAGUCAACUGGCCAGGUUGGAAUCCUGAUUCCCAAAUACUUAGAAAAAUCUCUUCCCUCUUCAAUAUAUCAAGAUGUGAGUCUUUCAACAUCUUCCUCCAAGAGUUUAAGAAAUCAUCUCACUCACUAGGUUUAAAUUGAAUCCCUUGAAAUGACUAAUAUCCACUCUCAGUAUCUCCAGCAACAGAUGCCAACUGAUAAAUUAUAUCUCCAAAUGCUAAUCACAUAUGAGCCUGGAGGCAUAAAAUGACGGAACCAACAUCUUUGUGGGCCAUCCCAGCUAGUGUGGCAGAGAGAAACGAGCUUGAGAUUUGAAGCCAGAGGACCUUGGCUAUUUGGAAGAAUGUGAUUCAGGUACUUCCAGUCAGAUACAUCCGUGCAAGACUUGGAUAGAGAAGUAACAUAAGGAGGCAGCUGUGGGAAGACUGACCAUCUGAAUUAUUCGCUUUGAGGAAAGCCAGCUUCCAUAUUGCUCUAUGAAGAGGCCUACAUGAUGAAGAACUGAAGUCUCCAAUCAACAGUCACCUAUCUAAACUUGGAAGUGAAUCCUCCAGUCUCAGUUGAGCUUUCGGAUUGCUGUAGCCUGUCCCCCCUACCCUAUGGACAGAUUGACUGCAACCUCAUGAUAGCCCCUGAACCAGAAGAACCUCAUAAAUGACUUCAAAAUUCCUAACUCUCAGAAACUAUGUGAGAUGAUAAACAUCUGUUGUUUUAAACUGUUAAGCUGCUAGGUUUUAGCAUAGUCUGUAUAAGCAAUAGAUAAAUAAUAUACAAGGGGAAACCUCAGUAACUAAUAGUGGUGAUGGUGGUAGUGGUGAUGGUCGUGGUGAUGAUGAUGCAAGACGAGGAGGAAGCUGCUGGUAUGAGCCCCAAAGUCUCCUGUUUAGGAGGUAAAAUAAAUCUUUUUUAU